rnacentral:rRNA from 1 species
CGGUUGGGGGGGUGCCUAAUACAUGCAGUCGAACGAGUUCUGAUUAUUGAAAGGUGCUUGCAUCUUGAUUUAAUUUUGAACGAGUGGCGGACGGGUGAGUAACACGUGGGUAACCUGCCCUUAAGUGGGGGAUAACAUUUGGAAACAGAUGCUAAUACCGCAUAAAUCCAAGAACCGCAUGGUUCUUGGCUGAAAGAUGGCGUAAGCUAUCGCUUUUGGAUGGACCCGCGGCGUAUUAGCUAGUUGGUGAGGUAACGGCUCACCAAGGCAAUGAUACGUAGCCGAACUGAGAGGUUGAUCGGCCACAUUGGGACUGAGACACGGCCCAAACUCCUACGGGAGGCAGCAGUAGGGAAUCUUCCACAAUGGACGCAAGUCUGAUGGAGCAACGCCGCGUGAGUGAAGAAGGCUUUCGGGUCGUAAAACUCUGUUGUUGGAGAAGAAUGGUCGGCAGAGUAACUGUUGUCGGCGUGACGGUAUCCAACCAGAAAGCCACGGCUAACUACGUGCCAGCAGCCGCGGUAAUACGUAGGUGGCAAGCGUUAUCCGGAUUUAUUGGGCGUAAAGCGAGCGCAGGCGGUUUUUUAAGUCUGAUGUGAAAGCCCUCGGCUUAACCGAGGAAGUGCAUCGGAAACUGGGAAACUUGAGUGCAGAAGAGGACAGUGGAACUCCAUGUGUAGCGGUGAAAUGCGUAGAUAUAUGGAAGAACACCAGUGGCGAAGGCGGCUGUCUGGUCUGUAACUGACGCUGAGGCUCGAAAGCAUGGGUAGCGAACAGGAUUAGAUACCCUGGUAGUCCAUGCCGUAAACGAUGAAUGCUAGGUGUUGGAGGGUUUCCGCCCUUCAGUGCCGCAGCUAACGCAUUAAGCAUUCCGCCUGGGGAGUACGACCGCAAGGUUGAAACUCAAAGGAAUUGACGGGGGCCCGCACAAGCGGUGGAGCAUGUGGUUUAAUUCGAAGCAACGCGAAGAACCUUACCAGGUCUUGACAUCUUUUGAUCACCUGAGAGAUCAGGUUUCCCCUUCGGGGGCAAAAUGACAGGUGGUGCAUGGUUGUCGUCAGCUCGUGUCGUGAGAUGUUGGGUUAAGUCCCGCAACGAGCGCAACCCUUAUGACUAGUUGCCAGCAUUUAGUUGGGCACUCUAGUAAGACUGCCGGUGACAAACCGGAGGAAGGUGGGGAUGACGUCAAAUCAUCAUGCCCCUUAUGACCUGGGCUACACACGUGCUACAAUGGAUGGUACAACGAGUUGCGAGACCGCGAGGUCAAGCUAAUCUCUUAAAGCCAUUCUCAGUUCGGACUGUAGGCUGCAACUCGCCUACACGAAGUCGGAAUCGCUAGUAAUCGCGGAUCAGCACGCCGCGGUGAAUACGUUCCCGGGCCUUGUACACACCGCCCGUCACACCAUGAGAGUUUGUAACACCCGAAGCCGGUGGCGUAACCCUUUUAGGGAGCGAGCCGUCUAAGGUGGACCAAAAAUG